GUGAGACCCCAGGGACUUUCAGGACUCAGGUCUUUGCAGCCUCGCAGCCCGUCUGUCUCUCGGUCACUCCUGCUCGUUACUACCCUUCUGGGGACUCACGCUCAGUAGGUUGAUUAGCCAUUACUCUCAUCGUUCAAUAUGCUUACUAGAAGUGUUCGUUGACAAUAACUUGAAAAACACAGAUGGGCAAACAGCACAAAACCGACGGCCCGAGUAAUCCCGCCUUCAGACUUUACCUCCGGCGUGGCGCUCGCUUUCGCCCGCAGCCGUGCGGAGACCCGGGCACGCGCCCCGCUCCGCACAGGGCACCGAGCCUGGGUUUUGUUUCCCUUGGCCUCCUCUCUUCUGCGUCUGUGGACUGGCACGGCCAUCCCAGGCGGAGAGUCCAGCGCGCUGUUUUCGAUGAGAGGGGCGUGAGGAGUACACCCGGCCGGGGUCGCGGGGAGCUGGCGCCUCACACGACCCUGGACACGCGACACUGGGACUAGGCCCAGGGAAAGGGGGGAAAAAUUUUUUUUAAAAGCACGGUUGCGUUGGCCGGGAAUCGAACCCGGGUCAACUGCUUGGAAGGCAGCUAUGCUCACCACUAUACCACCAACGCCGGCUAGCAAGCUUUCUUCCUGGGAUUCUUUAGGACUUAGAUACGUCGGCAGAGUCGUGGCCUGGGAGAUGUAACUUGGGGUCUGAACCAGAGCCCAGCAAGGGGUAAACACGAGGAAGGCCGAGACACAACGGCUGCGGUCUGCGGGGCACGCACGUGUGAGCGGCGCUCGGCUCCCAUCACCGCCAGUGCGCUCCAGUCACCCCACGAGAAACUGUGUGAUUCUACCCAGUCGACAGAGGGGGAAACCAAGGUCCAGAGAAGUUAAGUGAAGGGGUUUUCUGGCAGAGCUGGGAUUCAACCGUAAGAUUUUCUAGGGGCCCAGAUCUGCAUCGACAUAAUGGCUCUAUCAUCCCCCAAAAUAAAUCCCGAACACAUAAAAUCGCUUCUCUGUUGCGUGACCUCAGUGUGUCCCAAGAUUAAAGAAUCGGGCCUUAAACCAAGUGCGCCCAAGCCCAAUUUGUCCAGAGGAGGAUGUUUAAUUCCCUUGUGCGCGCGCAUCUAGUCUGCUAGCCGCUCUGAGAAACACGUGGACAAAAAUCUUCGGGGCGAGGUCUGAGAAUCAAACUCCGCCCCUAUUGCUGAUGAUGUGUCUGUUCACGAGACCCGUCAAGCGGCGGCCUCCAGAAGGCCUCGUGGCGCAACGGUAGCGCGUCUGACUCCAGAUCAGAAGGUUGCGUGUUCAAAUCACGUCGGGGUCAAAAGGUCACUUGUUUUCCGUAUCUGGAUAGACUGACUCGCUGUAAGAUAUUUCAAUAAAGAAAAAUGCACCUGCUUUUA